rnacentral:rRNA from 1 species
UACGAAGGGGGCUAGCGUUGCUCGGAAUUACUGGGCGUAAAGCGCACGUAGGCGGCUUUUUAAGUCAGAGGUGAAAUCCUGGAGCUCAACUCCAGAACUGCCUUUGAUACUGGAGAGCUUGAGUCCGGGAGAGGUGAGUGGAAUUCCUGGUGUAGCGGUGAAAUGCGCAGAUAUCAGGAGGAACACCGAUGGCGAAGGCAGCUCACUGGGACGGUACUGACGCUGAGACGCGAAAGCGUGGGGAGCAAACAGG